CUGUUUACAUGAUGAAUAAAAUCAAAUCACCAUCUUUCGGCUGAGCUCGUGAUGGAUUUGUUUUUUUCUGAUAAAACUG